rnacentral:rRNA from 1 species
CGGAGGUGCAAGCGUUAUCCGGAUUCACUGGGUUUAAAGGGAGCGCAGGCGGAUUUGUAAGUCAGUGGUGAAAAGGCUUAAGCUUAACUUGGGAACUGCCAUUGAUACUAUAAGUCUUGAAUGUUGUUGAGGUUUGCGGAAUGGGUCAUGUAGCGGUGAAAUGCAUAGAUAUGACCCGGAACACCUAUUGCGAAGGCAGCGAGGACUAAACAAAUAUUGACGCUGAGCUCGAAAGCGUGGGGAUCAAACAGGAUU